UUCCCUUCCCUAAUCAUAAAGCAACAGAAGUCAUAAGUGUUAUAUGUGUCAGAGAACAGGGAAGGGUAUCUAACCCAAAUUUAGUGUUCAUAAAAUUUUCCUAGAAAAAAUAACUCCAGAGAUAAAUCUCUAAUAUGUAAGAUUGUGUAAUAAGUGAAGUAUUGAUCAGGAAAGUAAAGUGGAAAAGAGUCACAAAGGCAGGUUGAGCAGCGUACAGGGAUGCAUGAAAGCAUCAAUCAAGUAGCACCUGAAGAAAACGUCAUGCAGUUUGGUGUUAACUGAAUGUGAGGCAGGGAAUGGGUGGAGAUGAGGAAGAGAGGUAGGAAGGCAGGUUCUCUGGUGGUCUCGGGCCUUUGCAAAGGUAAUCCACAGAAAGGAAGAAAACGCUCAUGAGCUUCUGUGCGCAGAGACUUCAUAGACUGAAAGUUGAGACCAAUAUGUGAGAUAAUAAAUCAUAUGUGCUCUAAUUGCUGUUGUGGAGAGACACACAGGGAACAAAGGCAGCAUAGAGGAUAGGGAAAUAAUCAAAGCAGGGGUAGACUGGAAAGGCUUUCUGGGUGAGGCAAUACAGGUUACAUUUAAACCCAAUCCUAAUACGUGAGACUCAGUAAACUAGGUGAUACUGGAAAGUGGUAAGGAAUUUAUUCCAGACAAAGAGAAAGAGUACACAUAAGAGGGGUAAAAAUGAGUUAGGACAUUUUAAUAUUUUAAGCAGUCCAGUAUGGGUACUACACAUUGCAUAAGGAAACAGAAGGGCGGGGGAUAAGGCUAGAGAAGAGAGAAUAAACACCAGACAAUCAUGAAGUUUUUUCCUAUGGCAAUGCUAAGCAUUAGAGUAACCAUAGAACGCCAUUUUAGAUUGCAAAGCAAGGGAGUAACCUCAUCAGCUCUGUGCCUUUGGAAAAUCACUCUGAGUAGAUAUCGUGGGUGGAGGCACCAGGGCUGGAGACAAGAAGGACAGUCAGGAGACCCUGAGGACCAUCUGAGGAAGAGCACCCGGUGGCUCCAUUGAGAUGUUCUAACUUACAUGGAAAAGUUAUCUGAUGAUCACUUUCAAAAUAUGAAGGGGAUCAGAUUUUCAUGGGACAAAUUUGUUAAGUAGUUCCCUACGUGUAUCACCAGUCUAGAAAAUGAGGAUAUAUAGGUAAAUCAAAUGUGGACACUGACCUCUAAAAGUUUCAGGGCAGACAGAACUUGUGUAAUGAUCUGAAACCUAAGGUAAGAAGUGAUGCACUCCAUGAGAAGGGUGCGGAUACAUUGCAAUGGGAACGCAAGGUAAGCAGAAGAUAACUUCCGAACAGAGAAUAAGAAUGACUGCACCAGGAUGAUGGCACUAGGGCAGGCUAUUAACAGUUUAUAAUUUAUAUUAGAAUGAUAGGUGACAAUUACUAAGCACUUACAUGUGCGAAGGGCUUCAUGCACAUUAUCUUCUUUAAUUCUUAUAAGGAUUCUAAGUGUUAAGUAUAGUCAUCUCCAUUUUACAGAAGAGGGAACUGGGGUGUAAAAAAAGUUAAUAGGCUUGUCCAAGGUCACUCAACUGUUAAAUGUUAAAAUCGGGAAUUAAUUCAGGUGUGGAUGGAACAAACAACAUUUAAAAAGGUUAAGAUGAAAGGAACACAUCUCCCUUAUGGAGGAAAGAGAAUCAUUAUGGGCACUGAAGUAGGGCAUGCCAGGUUAUAUUAAUAUACGGAGAAAAUGGAAUAGUUUAUUUUGCCAGGAUACUGAGUUGAAUAAAGAAUGAUCAAAUAAGCUGAUUUUUUUCCAAAUCACGUCGAGCAACAAACACCGAAGAAUCUUUCAUAAGUUACAUUUUUCAUGUAACACUGUAUCAUGCGUUAAGCUCCACUUCUAAGGUGAAGUACAGGCAGCUUUCCAUUGCUUCAAUCCAGCUCUCUGAGGUGGGCCAUCUUGAAUAGUUUAGGGCAAUUAUUUGAUCACACAUUUCCUAAUUGGCAAAAAAUGUUAAUAGUAUCUUCAAAAUCCCUUACUCCCUUGCUGCCAGUGGAGCAUGAAUGGAGCAGAUGCCAAAGACAGCUUGGAAACUUCCAAAAGGGUUGGAAAGAGCAAUUACUAUUAUCCCCGCUAUCUGCCAUGGCCAGGGCUGGCAUCACAAGCAGACUUUGUGCUUGCCAACGGGCUCAGGUGGCAUUCUGAAGGAACGACUCAUUUAUAAAACAGUGUAGUGGGUUUUACUUCCCUUAACAUGGUAAGAUCAAAGUACAGUCCAAGUAUAUAGAUAUUUGGUUCCCUACUAAAAAAGAAAAAAAAUAGAAUUGUUUCAAGGAAAGGUUGUCUUUAAUAGUUUAUCACACAAUUCAUUCUCAAAAUUGGGCACUGGUCAAAAAGAUUCGGUAAUUUUUUUUUUUUUUUUCAUACUGACCACCUUUUUCUAUGUCUGCCUGAAAAAAAAAAUAAGGGUAUCAAGGUAUCCUGGGAAAAGCCACCCCUAUUAGGCCUCCAGCCAUCUUCAGAUCCACACCUCAGCUCUUCUCGGUCCUGUGGGAUGUGAACUCCGUGAGCCUUCCAUUCUCUUGCUUACCUCUGCCACUCUAUGCCCUGCUGACGUCUUACUAAUUUUUCUUAUUCAGUAACUUGUCCCCUAAACUGUCUCUCCCAACUCUCUUUUAGGUAAAAGUAUUUAAUGUUUUCCUUAUUCACACCUUUCUUAGACCCCAAUUUUAGCCCUUAUUCUGAAGUAUGACUCCCAGGCAAACUGAAAGACAGAAAAACAACCACUUUAUCCACCUCGAUUUUAACACCUAUAAUAUUGCAUUCUGAUGAUGAAAUUGUGUGUCUCAUCAACUAAAUUUUGAGCUCCCCAAAGCUGGAACCAGGUCAUAUAUAUCACUAUGCUUCUAAUAUUGGCACAAGACCUGACACAUAACAGACAAUGAGUGAAUAGUGAUUAAAUAAAAUUUAAAAAGUGUCCUUUUUAAAAAACUGUUUCUGGACUUAAUGGAGGUUCUCACAUUUUGGGAGACAAAUUUAUUUUCUCUAUUUGUUUUAAGCAGAAUGGGAGCUAUGGAAUCAGACCUGGGGCAAAAUCCUGGCUCCUUCUCUUUGUAGUUGUUCUAUUUGUAUGAGUUAAUUAAGCAUUGUGAAAUAUGAACAUUCCUAUAGACCAUAUUGAGGGAUUAUUGCAGGAAAUAAAUGAUAUGAUGAUUCUAAGUUCCUCAUCCCAGUGCCUAGUAUAAACUGAAUGAAAAGAAACUGGUUAUUAUUUUCAUUGCUAUAAUUAAUAAGCAAGCUAGUCUCUUGAUUAUCCUUAGCAAUCUAAAGUUUAUUGGGCUCACAAAGGCCUUUGGGCUAUUUUUCCCCUAAUUCCUUGACCUGUAAUGACAAAGCCUUAUUCUUUAAAAAUAAAAACUGUUAUUCCUUUCUUGAUUUUCAACAAAUUAUUUCAUGAUUAUCACAAUCCAUGUUUUAGCACAGGAAUGUGUGCAAGGACCAGGGCUUAGGACUUCAGUUCAUGCAUUGCGAUGCUCUCAUGACAGCUCAGAAUAGUCAGAAAUUGAGAUUACGCUAAUGCAAGAAGGGGAGACUAUGAUGCUCACUGUAUGAUUUAUAAGACUAAAGAAAAAGGGAAGAAGGAGUUUGUGAAGAGGAUGAUACACUUAUCCCACACUCAGACUGAGGAUAGCAUGUGAAUGGACACUCCAGUCAGGUAAAAGGUCUCUAAGAACAGAGACCUUAACCAUAUGGAAAUCUUAACCAUAGUGGAAAGUCCAUAUUCUAGAGAUAGAGUGGGUUUUACUUUGUUUUCUUUUUUAUUUUAAUUAAAAUAUAUGAACAUGUGUGACAGUAAACCAAUAUAAAGUAUUUCCAUAUGUCACUGAACUCGACAUUUUUCAAGAUUUGGUCGUAUUUGUUUCGUUUUCCCUUUUGACUUUUAUCCUCUGCAAUGAAAUAUUUUAAAGCCAAUUUCAGAUGUUUUAUCAUUUCAACUCUAUGCACUUCACAAAUAAUAUUUUCAAAAUAAGCAUUUUCUUUCUCUCAAAUCACACUAUUGUAAAUAAGAAUAAUUAGCAAUAUUCUCAAUAUUCCUUUAACAUUCAGCCCAUUUUCAUAUUUUCUAAAGUAUAUCAAAAUGUGCUUUCACAGUUGGUUUGUUCAUAUCAGGAUCUGAACAGAGACUACUGUUAAGCUUGGUUGGGUCCAUUCCUCAUGACUUUUUUUUUUUUUCAUGUCUUUGACUUAUUGCAGACACCGUGUGAGUUGUCCCUUGGAACAAAAAUUUCUUCUAGAAGCUUGAUUAACUUCACAUUUUUUAAAACAGUAGUUCAUAAAUGGUAAGGUACAUCAACUCACACAUGUCUGUUUAUCCCACUUUUAGUGGGGCUAAGAUUAUUUACAGGUCCAGGUUGAGAUUGUCUGAUGAUUCCAUAAUAAAGUUCAUCAUCAAUUUCCAUCUAAGAGUUUUAUCCAUUGAUUACAACUGCCUAAACUAAUUACUUUAUUUAAGGGGGCUGAAUGAUUAUUUUUGAAAUCUAUCUAGCUUCCUCCACAUAUUAACUGGGUUUUUGUUUUGGUUUGGCUUUUGGUUUUUACAGAAAAGAACUCCCCCUCAUUCUUUCUUUGUCAGAACACUAAAGUUUAAUUAAAUAGUAUUUCAAAAGUAAUGAAGAAUUUCACAGACUCUAUGUAAUAAUAAAUCAAGGUAAAAUAAAAUAGUACUCUAUAAUCAUAAUUUUAUGAGUAUUUUAUAUGGCUUAGGAGUAAAAAAAAAAAAAUGACUCUUUAAAGUUUUUGUUUGAUCUGCCCUUACAUAGGAACAGAUAAUUUGUGAGAUACUAUGAGCAGAUUUUUAGAAAAUAAUAAAAAUAUUUACAGGUGGGCAUGGUGGCUCAUGCUUAUAAUCCCAGCACUUUGGGAGGCCAAGGCAGGUGGAUCACCUAAGGUCAGGAGUUCGAGAGUAGCCUAGCCAACAUGGUGAAACCCCUUCUCUACUAAAAAUACAAAAAUUAGCCAGGC
rnacentral:lncRNA from 1 species